rnacentral:rRNA from 1 species
AUUGAACGCUGGCGGAAUGCUUUACACAUGCAAGUCGAACGGCAGCACGGACUUCGGUCUGGUGGCGAGUGGCGAACGGGUGAGUGAUAUAUCGGAACGUAUCCAAUAAUGGGGGAUAACUAAUCGAAAGGUUGGCUAAUACCGCAUACGUCCUACGGGAGAAAGCUAGGGACCUUCGGGCCUGGCGUUAAUGGAGCGGCCGAUAUCGGAUUAGCUAGUUGGUGAGGUAAAGGCUCACCAAGGCGACGAUCCGUAGCUGGUCUGAGAGGACGACCAGCCACACUGGAACUGAGACACGGUCCAGACUCCUACGGGAGGCAGCAGUGGGGAAUUUUGGACAAUGGGCGAAAGCCUGAUCCAGCCGUUCCGCGUGAGUGAAGAAGGCCUUCGGGUUGUAAAGCUCUUUCGCAAGAGAAGAAAACUUACCCUCUAACAUAGGGUGAGGUUGACGGUAUCUUGAUAAGAAGCACCGGCUAACUACGUGCCAGCCGCCGCUGUAA